ensembl:lncRNA
CUCUGAUAGCUUUAGGGACCUGCUUUUUGAUACAGCUUCUUGGCCAGCGUCAGCUGCAGGUGUGUGUUAUGCCUCUGUAGCAGGAGCAGCAAGAAGGGGUAUAAUCUUCUCGUUCCCCAAGCUGCCACAAACACAACACAAGUGAUGUUUGCUCGGACGUUCUAACACGGGAUGGGGAAAUACACGGGGAAAUCUGGCACACGCCCAGUUUCCACUUCAUUAUAUUCUGCAAACACGGAGUUGGGGAUUUUCCUAUCUAGCUCACAAUUUAUGCUCCCAGUGGGGAGUUCAGAACACCACACUCCGGACCCGCUGGAAGAGAGCGUUCUGGGGACAGCAGCAGGCGAAGCCCACGCAGCCUGCGCACGGAGGUGAUUCUCCAGGGGACAGCUACAUGAGACAUUGUGAUCACCGGCUCUCGUCCUGCUGAGGCACUUCAACCACACUGAUAUCUGCUGGAAAAGUAGCACAGUGAGCUGGUGAUCCAGGAGACUCCUGGAAUAUAUCAAGGAUAAUUUCCUGAGCCAGGUAAUAGACAGCCCCAUCAGGGGGGAAUGCAGUGCUGGACCUGUUGCUUAGCAACAUUAAUCAACUGACUGGUGAUAUCAGGAUUGGAGGCUGCCUGGGAUGUAGUGACCGUGCAAUGGUGAAGUUCAAACUCUUGAGUGAUAUCAGGCAGGCGAAGAGUAAAACCAGGAAGCUUAAUUGUAGGAAAAUCCAAAAGCCAGCUAUUCAGGGAGUCUGUUAAUAAAACCCCCUGGGAAUCUGUCCUGAAGCACAAGGGAGUGGAGCAGAGCUGGCAGAUUUUUAAGGAAGAUCUUUCCUUAGGGCACAAGAGCUCUCCAUCUCCAGAUGUAGGAAGUCAGGAAAGAAAGGUAGUAGACUAUUAUGGCUGAACCAGGACCUGCUGGUCAAGCUGGAGAGCAAGAAGAAAAUGCAUAGGCAGUGGAAGCAGAAACAGGUAACCUGGGAGAAGUAUAGGGAUGCUGCUAGGCUCUGUAGGGGUUGGGGUCAGGAAGGCCAAGGUCCAACUAGAACUGAACUUGGCAAGGGGAGUAAAGAAGGAUAAGAAAGGCUUCUAUAAGUACAUCAGCUAGAAAAGGAAAGUCCAGGAGGACAUACUCUCCCUAGUGAGUGGCACAGGCAGACUAAUAACAAGAGACAAGAAGUCUGAGAUAUUCUACAACUUUUUGCCUUAGUCUUCACUAGCAACUGCUCUACACACAGGCUUUGACUGGAUGGUUCAGAAUGUGGAAACUGGAAGAGAGAUGCCACUCCUGCUAUAAGUGAAGAUCAGAUUCAUGACCUCCUGAGGAACAUGAACACCCAUAAGUCUAUGAGCCCUGAGGAGAUGCAUCCCGGAGUCCUGAAGGAAUUGGCAGACAUAGUUGCCAAGCCACUCUUGAUGAUCUUUGAAAAGUCAUGGUGGUCAGAUGAAGUCUCUGGUGACGAUGACAAAAGGCAAUAUCACACCCAUAUUUAAGAAGGGUAGAAAGGAUGACCUAGGGAACUAUGAACCUAUUAGCUUCACAUCUGUGCUGGGGAAGAUAAUGGAAGAGAUGAGGCUCCUAGGACCAGCUACAUGCACUCUGUCUGGGGCAGCUUCACAAGCUAUCGUGAAACUGCUUUUCUAUGUGUUUUCUCGUUUCCAAACCAAGAAACAAGGUGAGGCCUACAGCAAUUCUUUAAUCUCUUUCCACUUUAAAGCAUUCAAGCAUUUCUCUGAUGUUCCUGGAAAGGGGCACAGAUGACUGUGUCCCCUCCUAAUGAUGAUGACUCCCCUGAAGAGGACCAGGGGACCAUUCCACCUCCUGUGCUUGAUGGUUCUCUCAUGAAACAUCUCCAGAAUUUCACCACUGUCUAGAGCUUCUUGAUUCCCUCUGAGACUUGCUUUAUCCUUACAAAAAUAAAAAAUAGACAAGUAAGCCAACAAGAAAGCAAACAGCCAAAAACAAAAGCACAACAUCACAAAAGCUAGCAAAGCUGUGCAAUCUUAUUUACAAAUAAUGUAGUUAAAGUCUUAUUUCUCCAGACACAGCAUAUGAAUACUCCCUCCUUUUGCACUGGAACAGUUUGCCCGGAGAGGUUGUGGAUGCCCCAUCCCUGAAGGCAUUCAAGGCCAGGCUGGAUGUGGCUCUGGGCAGCCUGGUCUAGUGGUUGGUGACCCUGCCUGUGGCAGGGGGUUUGAAACUAGAUGAUCUUUGAGGUUCUUUUCAAUGCAGGCCAUUCUAUGAGUCUAUGAUUCUAUGAUUCUGUUUCACUUCUGCAGACGUACAUAACCCCUGCUAACCAUUUCUUCAUCCACUGUGUUCACAUCACAAUAUAUCCCAAAUAAAUUGCUCCAUCUAUAUAUUACAAAGUGGAGUAAAAUGUGUUUGCUGAGUGGUAGCUUCCAUUGUUUAUGCCUCUCUCUAUGGAGACCUUAAUUUAGUUUCAUUAUCAUCCCAUGAGAAGUUCAUCUCUGACUCCAUCCAGAGUAAUGCUAUGGAUCAUAUCAGCUGACUUAAUGUCAUUUUUUACCAAAAAAAACUGACAAUCAACCAUUGUCCUCCCAUUUUCUUGGAGCUGUUACACUCCUCAGGCCUGCAAGUGUCAUCUGCAUUUCCUUCUACCAAAAUAUAUAGACUUUAAUUAGCAAUAUUAACAGCCAUAUUGUUUCUGCUUAGCCAGAAAUCACCUGGGUCACUUCCUGCUUGUAAUCUAUCCUCAUCAUUUCUCUGUUCCUUUUUGUUGUUCGCAUAGUUUAAAAUAUUACUAGAGUUAGUUUGUAUUUUGUAUUUUGUUUGUUUAUUAAUAUAUAUUUUUUUCUCCGUGCCAUAGGUAAAAGCAUUGAAUAUGAUCUUGGACAAGAAAGGUUCUCUGUAGCACUGCACUGGUGAAAAUCGGUAGGAUUUAGUUAACAAUUACAUAUUAAAUUUCCAAGUUAUACAGUUUGAUCUCAUUUAAUAAAUAUUUUCUUGAUUUUCUUCUGAUGUUAAUAACUUAAUCAGAAUGUUACAUGGUAUCAGUGUUGCACAGGUGUGUGAAAGCCAUUAUUUUGUCAAUAUACUUACCUUUAUUAAAUAGACCAAAUUAUGGGACUUCUGAUCUCAUAAAAAUACUAUGCAAUUUGUUUAACUUAACCUGUUUUGCAUAAAAUCACGUCGACUGACAGUAAUUAUGUUACCAUUUCUUAUUUCCUUAUGGACAGAGUCCCGAAUCAGCUGUUCCAUUCUUCUGCACAGAACCAAGGUCAAGUUAGCUCAUCUACAAUUACCCUGUUUACACUUAUGAAAUAGCAGUGCAGCAUUGGAUAUUUCCUGGCUCCUUUGAUUUCCACAGUAUGCCAAGGCUUUUUGCCAGAAAGCACCAGUACAAGAUUCCUUUUAAAAGCUUUAAAUAAGUUACCCACUCCUGCCAGUUAUAGAAGUUAAUAGAUGCUCUUUACCAUUCACUUAAAAAAAUAUCAAAAUAGAUGGUAUUUCAGCAAUACAGACUCUGUUUUCAUUUCUAAAUGCAAAAUGUAAAUAUUCACGGAAUGCUUCUUUUUUUUCCCCCAGAUAGCAAUGGAGCUGUGUCAUCACUGGGAUUACUUUUGCCCUGAACAGUCCUUCGCAAAUGAAAAAUAAAGCAAAGAAAUGUUCUUAUUUUUUAUCUCUGCUUCUGCAUAAAUGUAGUUUACAUACCACUAUACUGCAUUUAUUAAUGUAUGAAAUUUGUUAAUUUUGUAAGUGUCCAUGGGCUUUCAGUUGCUUUAAUGACAAUUGUUAUCCAUAAUUGCAUUUCAAUCAUUCUAUUGCAUGUACAUGCUUCUUACAAUAAUACUAAUAUACUCUUCUGUACACUUACUGUAAUACACGUACUAAUCAACACUGUAUCAACUGUAUCAACAAUUCUAUAUAUACAUCUUUAAUCAGAUCACUGUCAUGUACUUCCUGACAAGUGCUAGUUUUAAGCUUAGUAACCAGUGGCUUUCAUGACUCAGAAUGGAGCAUAAUGCAAUAUUAACUGAUUUUCUUUGUGACAGAGAUUUCAGUCUGUAUGUUUUAGAGGAUCUAGGGCACUGUAGGUAACACAGAACAAGAUCAUUAGCAAGUACUAUUGUAUUAGAAACUUUUUAGUGACAGCAUUUCUUUCUUCAUAGAUAUUUGUUCAUGCUUACAGAAAUUACACAGAGCGGAAAUGAUCUCACCUUACUUGAUAACACAGAUAUCCAGAUCUAAGCUCGUCAUUCCCUAGGGUGUACAUGCCUCUGUCCAUAGUGAAAAACAGACAUUUUAGAGCUCUUUGAAUAUGACCUAUUUUAGAUGCUUACACUAGAAUGGAAUGAAUCAUGCCUUAGAAUGCUUUUUUUUCCCCGUAGAAAACAGAGGGAGACCAGAGUGAUUAGUCCUGAUCCAGUUCUUUGCACUGCAAGAUGUACAUCUGGUCAAUUCUUACUACUGAACAAAAAAUGCUGGUUCUAUAAUUAUGAGGGAAAAGUAAAGAAGCAGCUGAGCCUGUGAAUCUUCAAGAUUAAAAAAAAAAAAAAAAGCCGUUGCUUUUCUUCACAAAAAUAACAAACUGGACUAUGAUUCUAAGAGUACUUAAUUAUUUUUAGUUAAGUUAGAUGAAAGAAUUUGAAGUUCAUAAGUAAACAGCUUUGCAAUAAGUAAUAAUUCUAGAAGUAGAUAUUACCAAACCUUAAGGUUACUGUAUGUCAUAUGAAUCAUAUUAAUCCAGUCAAUAAAGCAUUCUCUAAUUCCAGUAGCUAUUAAUUAAAUUAAUUUGUUCUAUUUUUCUUUGCUCUACCCAAACAUUACUUUUACUACGCUUGAAAAAAUUAUUUUUUAAAGUUUCUAAGAUUCUAAAAUAUGUUUGAAAUUUAAAGUUUAAGAUGGAUUUUUUUCCAUUUACAAGUAAAUAAUAAGGGUAUGUACAAUUUGUUAGAGAUCUAUCUGAAGGUAUGUGUUGAACCUGAUUUCAAGUAUCUAUUGUAUUAGCUUAUCAGUUUAGGAAAAGAUUUCAGCAUGCCAAAUGUGUACAAACAGUGAGAUCGCUUCAAAUGGCUUUGGCCAAUGGGUGAAGAAUUUCUUUAGCAUUUGACAGUUCUGCUCUAGUGAUGAAGAGGCAGGAAGUCCUUGGAAUGAACUAUUGGAUUUCAUUUGUUUUGUAACAUAGGUUUUUUAAAUUCACUCAUGGGCUCACCAACACGAUCUAGAUAAACAUCAAUAUAUUCAUUAAAUUUUGAAUUUGAACAAAGUUACUGGAUCAUCAGAUAGAAGAACUCUAGAAAUAACAAUACAUUGCAAAUAAACUCUAGGUAAGUAAAAAUCCAAUGUUAGAAAAUGCCUUUCCUAUUGUUGAUGUUAUUUAUUUGUUUCCUUUACAGAUUGAAGGCAUUUGCAGUGUUGACCAGUUCCCCUCUGCUUAUGUAAGCUGUGACAACAAAGCCUGUGGACUAGCUAAAACUUUCUCACUACCUAUCACUGUGGAUAGGAAAACCUGUCAUGCAGGCCUUUAAGCAAAUCCCUCAAAGACUUAAUCAUGCACAACAUCAGAGGUUCCUGUUGCAUGUGUGUCUCUACCAACCAGGGACUUGAAGGAAGCAACAAUCCAUGAGAUAUGUAUCAUUUGCUACAAAUUAUGCAACCGUGCCAAAUGCUUGAAUACCUCUGAAGCACAUCGCGUUAUGCCAAGGACUCCCCACCUAUCUGAGCCCUGUAGAUCUCAAGAGUAAUUGAAUUUGUUGAUGCAGUUAUAGAGUACAGAAUUCUUCCAUUUAUAUGGCUAGCAACGGACUCACAGUUCUCUUAGUAUUGGAUGUACUUAAACUGCAGCCUUCUUGUCCUCACUUGGUUAUGGCCACACUGCCUCUUUUGCUGAGUAUGGCAAGAACUAAUUAAUUUAAGAAUUAAUGCAAGAGUAUGUCUUAUAAAGAUGUCCCUCUAUAUGUAAUACACAGCAUUUCUACCACAACAGAUGUUUUGUCAAAGGUUUCAAAAUGCAUAUGUAUCUCCAUUUUACACGCAGUCUUCAGAAAGACAUCUGCACACCUAUGUGGUUUCCAGGAUUAACUUGCUUUAGCGUUCCUACCUUCUGUAGGAACAACUGAGGGAUUAUCAUAAGCAUUAUGGUUUCUGGUCACUUCUGGAUCUUUGACCCAAAUAACGUAUUUCUGAGUUGGUUAUGGGUAGCCUUCACCACAAAUUAAAAGCAGCUCUUGUAUUUAUGUAUCCUGAUGGAUGGCAAAAUGUCCAUCCAUCUCUUAUUCUGUAAUACAUAUCGUCUCCAUACAAAGAUGAUCUUCCUCGAGUGGCUAGUGUCUAACAUCAUUAGCACCUAUGGCUUCGGAUAUGAAAACUAAAAUACUUCAGUGUGCAAUACCACAGUCUCACUUCCUGUAAAUGUAAAAUAACCCUCAUAUGAAAUCUGCCAAACUGCUCUUCAUCACUGUUGUCCCUGUCUCCCAUUCUACCAUUUAGUGCAGAUUUAUACCUAUCCAAUGUGGCAACUCCUGCAUGGCCUAAUGAAUAGAACGCAGCUUUAUUUUAAUGGCAAGUACAAGAUAGAAAAAAAAUGAUGGAAUGAUUUUCCUGGCUCAUUUUCAUUAUGCUUCAGCUUUGGACUGAACUUUAAAAGGUAAAUCGCCCAACUCUUGACUACACAAGCAUUUAAAUAACUACAGAGAUUCUUAGCAUUUUUUACCUUUGGUGACUGUGGAUUCAUGUUGACUUUAAACUGACUUAAGGGUAUUAGAAAAGAAAUUUUCAGGCAAAGAUAAUACUCUGUUGUGGAAUGGAUAUUGAGCAAUUAGGGAAAGAAGAAUAUUUUAUCAUUCUUGUCACAGAGGCUAUUUCUUGGGCAAUGGCUACCUGCUCCUUUUUAUCUUUCCCACCCAUGCCAUAUUGCAGCAAAUGUGGCCGCAGGUGCCUACACUGGAUGAACACCUGCCCAAUCUGCGCAAGAAGGAAAGGAAAUCAAGGGAUGUCAUGCUCACUAGUUUUGUGUACUCAACUCAGGAGAGUGACAGAAAGGAGAAAUGAGAAGACAGUUAAAUUUAGCAUGAUUAAGAAGAGAGAGUAGAAUAAAAUGGCUGUGACCUUCAGAAGCAGCUUUUGCAGGAGAUGGAGAGCAGGUAAGUCUAAACACACUUUUUUCAAAGGCAGAACACCACUUUCUGUGUCUGUCAGCCUUUCUAUAACAAUGCAUCUACUACAGUGAGCUGACAGAAACCUUACAAAGUUCAACAGAGUCCUGCACCUAGGGAGAAACAAACACAGGCACCAGGACAUGCUGGGGCCACCUAGCUGAAAAGCAGCUCUGCAGCAGAGGACAUGGGGACAGAGUGGUGGGGACACCACUCUGGACAUGAGUAAGCAGUGUGCCCUUGCUGCUAAGAAGGCCAAUGGUAUCCUGAGCUGCAUUAGGCAAAGAAUUGCCAACAGGUCAAGAGAGGUGAUCCUUCCCCUAUACACAGCCCCAGUAAGGCUGGAGCAAUGUGUCCAGCUCUGGGUCUCCAGUAUGGGAGAGACACGGAUGUAAUGGAAAGGGUCCAAAGAGGCAUAACCAAGAUGGUCUGGGACUGGAGCACCUCUCCAGUGAGGAGAAUCUCAUCAGUGUCUGUAAAUACCCAAACAGAAGAUGCAAAGAAGAUGGAGCCAGGCUCUUCUCAGUGCUGCUCAGCGUCAGUACAAGAGACAAACUGUAACACAGAGGCUCCCUCUGAACACCAGGAAGCAGUUCUGCACUGUCGAGUGAUGGAGCACCAUCAUGGGCUGCCCAAAGGCUGUGGGUUCUCCUCCUUGGGGAUCUCCAGAAGCUGCCUGGUUGUGGGCCCAGGCAGCCUGUAAAUCUGUGUAGUGGCUUUUUACACCAGUUUGCAGGUAAAAUUUUGUCCUUUCUCAUUCCAUGUUGCAAAACAACAAAUAAAAUAUGUUUUGUGUGAAACUACAUAAGCUCAUUCUUUUACCCUCAGAGAUAGAUCCUUUAUAUAGUUCCAUAGAAUAUUUAUCCCUGCUUUCUUGCC